UACGUAGGGUCCGAGCGUUUGUCCGGAAUUAUUGGGCGUAAAGAGCUCGUAGGCGGUGUGUCACGUCGGCCGUGAAAAACCUGCAGCUUAACUGUGGGGCGUGCGGUCGAUACGGGCAUCACUGGAGUUCGGCAGGGGAGACUGGAAUUCCUGGUGUAGCGGUGAAAAUGCGCAGAUAUCAGGAGGGAACACCGGUGGCGAAAGGCGGGGU
rnacentral:rRNA from 1 species